rnacentral:rRNA from 1 species
AGUGAACGCUGGCGGUAGGCCUAACACAUGCAAGUCGAACGGCAGCACAGUAAGAGCUUGCUCUUACGGGUGGCGAGUGGCGGACGGGUGAGGAAUACAUCGGAAUCUACUUUUUCGUGGGGGAUAACGUAGGGAAACUUACGCUAAUACCGCAUACGACCUACGGGUGAAAGCAUGGGAUCUUCGGACCUUGCGCGAUUGAAGGAUCCGAUGUCGGAUUAGCUAGUUGGCGGGGUAAAGGCCCACCAAGGCGACGAUCCGUAGCUGGUCUGAGAGGAUGAUAAGCCACACAGGAACUGAGACAGGGUCCAACCACAUACGGAAGGGAGGAGUGAGGAAUAAGGAACAGUGGACGGACGCAUGACCCAGCCAGACAGGGUGGGUGAAGAAGGCAUUCGGGUUGGAAAGCACUUUUGUUGGGAAAGAAAAGAAGAAGGUUAACACGCAGCUGUACUGACGGUACCCAAAGAAUAAGAACCGGCUACCUUCGU